rnacentral:rRNA from 1 species
GACGAACGCUGGCGGCGUGCCUAAUACAUGCAAGUAGAACGCUGAAGGAGGAGCUUGCUUCUCUGGAUGAGUUGCGAACGGGUGAGUAACGCGUAGGUAACCUGCCUGGUAGCGGGGGAUAACUAUUGGAAACGAUAGCUAAUACCGCAUAAGAGUAGAUGUUGCAUGACAUUUGCUUAAAAGGUGCAAUUGCAUCACUACCAGAUGGACCUGCGUUGUAUUAGCUAGUUGGUGGGGUAACGGCUCACCAAGGCGACGAUACAUAGCCGACCUGAGAGGGUGAUCGGCCACACUGGGACUGAGACACGGCCCAGACUCCUACGGGAGGCAGCAGUAGGGAAUCUUCGGCAAUGGACGGAAGUCUGACCGAGCAACGCCGCGUGAGUGAAGAGGGUUUUCGGAUCGUAAAGCUCUGUUGUAAGAGAAGAACGAGUGUGAGAGUGGAAAGUUCACACUGUGACGGUAUCUUACCAGAAAGGGACGGCUAACUACGUG